GACGAACGCUGGCGGCGUGCCUAAUACAUGCAAGUCGAACGCAGUGGGGACGGGUGAGUAACACGUGGGUAACCUCCCAUCAGAGGGGAUAACACUUGGAAACAGGUGCUAAACCGAUACUGAUGGAUGAACCCGCGGUGGAUUAGCUAGUUGGGGAGGUAACGGCUCACCAAGGCCACGAUGCAUAGCCGGCCUGAGAGGAUGAUCAGCCACACUGGGACUGAGACACGGCCCAGACUCCUACGGGAGGCAGCAGUAGGGAAUCUUCGACAAUGGGCGAAAGCCUGACGCAGCAACGCCGCGUGAGUGAAGAAGGUUUUCGGGUCGUAAAGCACUGUUAUUAGAGAGGCGGUAUCUAAAGAGAAAGCAACGGCUAACUACGUGCCAGCAGCCGCGGUAAUUC
rnacentral:rRNA from 1 species